rnacentral:piRNA from 1 species
UGGAGUUAGAGGUACGUAGACUA